UACGUAGGGGGCAAGCGUUGUCCGGAAUCAUUGGGCGUUAAGCGCGUGUAGGCGGUUCGAUAAGUCUGCUGUGAAAGUCCAGGGCUCAACCCUGGAAUGCCGGUGGAUACUGUCAGACUAGAGUGCGGAAGAGGCGAGUGGAAUUCCCGGUGUAGCGGUGAAAUGCGCAGAUAUCGGGAGGAACACCAAUUGCGAAGGCAGCUCGCUGGGACGUUACUGACGCUGAGACGCGAAAGCGUGGGGAGCAAACAGG
rnacentral:rRNA from 1 species